rnacentral:rRNA from 1 species
UACGUAGGUCCCGAGCGUUGUCCGGAUUUAUUGGGCGUAAAGCGAGCGCAGGUGGUUUAUUAAGUCUGGUGUAAAAGGCAGUGGCUCAACCAUUGUAUGCAUUGGAAACUGGUAGACUUGAGUGCAGGAGAGGAAAGUGGAAUUCCAUGUGUAGCGGUGAAAUGCGUAGAUAUAUGGAGGAACACCGGUGGCGAAGGCGGCUCUCUGGCCUGUAACUGACACUGAGGCUCGAAAGCGUGGGGAGCAAACAGG